rnacentral:rRNA from 1 species
AUACGGAGGGUGCAAGCGUUACUCGGAAUCACUGGGCGUAAAGCGCGCGCAGGCGGUCUUUUAAGUUGGAUGUGGAAGCCUACGGCUCAACCGUAGAACUGCAUCCAAAACUAUUAGACUAGAGUGUGGGAGAGGAAGAUGGAAUUAGUUGUGUAGGGGUAAAAUCCGUAGAGAUAACUAGGAAUACCAAAAGCGAAGGCAAUCUUCUGGAACACUACUGACGCUGAGGCGCGAAAGCGUGGGGAGCAAACAGGAUUAGAUACCCUAGUAGUCC